AGGGCAUCCUCGAAUAACCAAGCUUUAUGUGCUGAAAGAUGGUCUCGCGUCUGAUUAGCUAGUUGGUGAGGUAAACGGGCUCACCAAGGCGACGAUCAGUAGCCGGUCUGAGAGGAUGAACGGCCACAUUGGGACUGAGAUACGGCCCAGACUCCUACGGGAGGCAGCAGUGGGGAAUAUUGGGCAAUGGGGGAAACCCUGACCCAGCAACGCCGCGUGAAGGAAGAAAGCCUUCGGGUUGUAAACUUCUUUUACCAGGGACGAAGAACGUGACGGUACCUGGAGAAAAAGCAACGGCUAACUACGUG
rnacentral:rRNA from 1 species